rnacentral:lncRNA from 1 species
ACCCCCAUGUUGCUGCUUCUUCUAUUUUCUUCUUUCUUUCCUCUAUCUUUUUCUUCUUAUGAGGUGUUACUUCUUCUUAAUUUAGAUUUCCUAUGUUCUUUACAGUGUGCUUAACUCAAACUCUUCUUAGUUGACCCAAAAAAAAUCGUGCUCUUAUUUCCUCUUAUGUUCUUGACAUGCCCUGAUCCCAAUGUCCGAGGGAUAUCGGGAUGGCCACGUGUUGGCCGACACCCGAGGUGAUGCAAGCCAUUUAAUGAAUGCAUAUGCCGAGAACAUGUGAAACAUGCAUAUAAAUUUUCGCGCGUAACUACGCAAGGUAAUAUUCAAAUAUAAGUCUUACAAAAUACCAUAAUAGUAUUCAACUGCCAAUAAUGAAUAUAAUGAUAAUGCAUGACAUGUUCAAAGCAUACAACUAAUAAGCGGAAAGUAAAGUAGAAAGGUGCUAUUACAAUAGAUGUCAAAGCAGGGAGGAUGAUAUGAUAUCACUGGUAAGGGAAUGCCUCGUAGUUUGGAUCGUAUGCCUUGUUCCUAUGUCCUGAGGGAGUGUAAAACAAACAUGAGUGGACCAAGUUAUAUAUAAAUAAUACGGAAACAAUUAUUCAACAUACUAACCCCCAAAGUUUUAUGAAAACUAAUAGUAUAAUAGGUGAUAGAUUUGCCGAAACCCCUAGCAUGCCAUAAAACCUUUCAUAAAACAUAUCUUAUAUAUAAUGUGCUAACUAGUGGUAUUAGUAUCACCCAUAUGCACAAAACAGUGCCCUACACACACCUUCCCGAAGGCAAUAUAAGUAUCAUCUCCCAUACACACAAAACAAUGCCCUACACAUGCCCGCCCGAUGGCAAUAUAAGUAUCAUCUCCCAUACGCACAUAAUAGUGCCUUACACACGCUAGCCCGAAGGCAAUAUAAGUAUCAUCGCCCGUAGGUAGAAUAGUGACCACUAGAUAAGCACAAAACGUUGAAUAUAAUCUUUCCAACUCAAAAACAUCUUCAUAGUAUAUAGUCAUCCAUCAUAUAUAUUAUAAAGAAGUGUAAAAAUAUUUUCAUAAAUAGUAUAUAGUCAUCCAUCAUAUAUACUACAAAGAACAAUAGUUCGAUAAAGUAUGGUAUUCCAAAAUAUUCUCAGUAAAGCAUGAUAAUCAUAUAAUGUAAAUUCAAUUUACUUAUAAAACAUUACCAUUAAAUCAUGCUUUUCAUGUAUGCAUUUCUACUAUUAAAACAUGCAUUUUAGAAGGGGUCCACUCAUAGAUACUUCGUCGUC